rnacentral:rRNA from 1 species
CCUACGGAGUGCAGCAGUGAGGAAUAUUGGUCAAUGGGCUUACGCCUGAACCAGCCAAGUCGCGUGAGGGAAGACUGCCCUAUGGGUUGUAAACCUCUUUUGUCAGGGAGCCACGCCGGCUACGUGUAGCCGGACUGAGAGUACCUGAAGAAAAAGCAUCGGCUAACUCCGUUCCAGCAGCCGCGGUAAUACGGAGGAUGCGAGCGUUAUCCGGAUUUAUUGGGUUUAAAGGGUGCGUAGGCGGAAUGCCAAGUCAGCGGUAAAAUCGCGGGGCUCAACCUCGCUCCGCCGUUGAAACUGGCGUUCUUGAGUGGGCGAGAAGUAUGCGGAAUGCGUGGUGUAGCGGUGAAAUGCAUAGAUAUCACGCAGAACUCCGAUUGCGAAGGCAGCAUACCGGCGCCCAACUGACGCUGAAGCACGAAAGCGUGGGUAUCGAACAGGAUUAGAUACCCGAGUAGUC